rnacentral:rRNA from 1 species
UACAGAGGUCCCAAGCGUUGUUCGGAUUCACUGGGCGUAAAGGGUGCGUAGGUGGUGAGGUAAGUCGGAUGUGAAAGCUCGGAGCUCAACUCCGAAAUGGCAUUGGAAACUACCUUGCUCGAGGGUUGGAGGGGGGACUGGAAUACUUGGUGUAGCAGUGAAAUGCGUAAAUAUCAAGUGGAACACCAGUGGCGAAGGCGAGUCCCUGGACAACUCCUGACACUGAGGCACGAAAGCUAGGGGAGCAAACAGG